rnacentral:rRNA from 1 species
GCAAGUCGAACGAGGAGCUCUUAUCUUCGGACGAGAGAUUUCCUAGUGGCGAACGGGUGAGUAACGCGUUGGUGACCUGCCCCGAAGAAGGGGAUAACAGUUCGAAAGAACUGCUAAUACCCUAUGUGAUCAGUUGGAUUAGAUGCCUUCUGAUUAAAGGAGUAAUCCGCUUUGGGAGGGACCUGCGUCCCAUCAGCUAGUUGGUAGGGUAACGGCCUACCAAGGCAAUGACGGGUAGGGGACCUGAGAGGGUGGCCCCCCACAAUGGCACUGAAACACGGGCCAUACACCUACGGGUGGCAGCAGUAGGGAAUAUUGGACAAUGGGCGAAAGCCUGAUCCAGCAACACCGCGUGCACGAUGACGGCCUUCGGGUUGUAAAGUGCUUUUAGAGGAGAUGAGAAAGGACAGUAUCCUCUGAAUAAGCCUCGGCGAACUACGUGCCAGCAGCCGCGGUAAAACGUAGGAGGCAAGCGUUAUCCGGAUUUAUUGGGCGUAAAGCGCGUGCAGGCGGUCUAGCAAGUUGGAUGUGAAAGCUCCCGGCUUAACUGGGAGAGGUCGUUCAAUACUGUUAGACUAGAGAAUAGGAGAGGGAGGUGGAAUUCCGGGUGUAGUGGUGAAAUGCGUAGAUAUCCGGAGGAACACCAGUGGCGAAAGCGGCCUCCUGGACUAUUUCUGACGCUAAGACGCGAAAGCUAGGGUA